UGUUGGUUCUCCCGCAACGCUACUCUGUUUACCAGGUCAGGUCCGGAAGGAAGCAGCCAAGGCAGAUGACGCGUGUGCCGGAAUGUAGCUGGCAGGG
rnacentral:SRP_RNA from 3 species